rnacentral:rRNA from 1 species
AGACGANGGUAAGUGGUGUAGCAAUAUAUCACCAAGAGUGUCGUAAGGGUGCGUAACACGUAUGCAAUCUGCCCCCAACAGGAGGAUAGCUCGGGGAAACUCGAAUUAACCCUCCAUAAGAUCACGCGAGGGCAUCUGAAAGUGAUUAAAACUGAGGUGGUUGGGGAUGAGCAUGCGUCUGAUUAGCUAGUUGGUAGGGUAACGGCCUACCAAGGGGAUGAUCAGUAGGGGAACUGAGAGGUUGAUCCCCCACACUGGCACUGAGAUACGGGCCAGACUCCUACGGGAGGCAGCAGUAGGGAAUAUUGGACAAUGGGUGCGAGCCUGAUCCAGCCAUGCCGCGUGCAGGAAGAAGGCCUUCUGGGUUGUAAACUGCUUUUAUCUGGGGAUAAAAAGAGCGUGCGCGCUCAAUUGAAGGUACCAGAGGAAUAAGCCACGGCUAACUACGUGCCAGCAGCCGCGGUAAUACGUAGGUGGCAAGCGUUGUCCGGAUUUAUUGGGUUUAAAGGGUGCGUAGGCGGCUUUGUAAGUCAGCAGUGAAAUACGCCAGCUUAACUGGAGAGGUGCUGUUGAUACUGCGGAGCUUGAGUACUGAUGAGGUAGGCGGAAUGGACGGUGUAGCGGUGAAAUGCAUAGAUAUCGUCCAGAACACCGAUAGCGAAGGCAGCUUACUAAGGAGUAACUGACGCUGAGGCACGAAAGUGUGGGGAUCAAACAGGAUUAGAUACCCUNNAGUCCACACUGUAAACGUUGAUCACUCGAUGUUGGCGAUACACUGCCAGCGUCUUANCAAAAGCGAUAAGUGAUCCACCUGNNNAGUACGCCNGCANCGGNG